CUUUUUUUUUUUUUUUAAAUGUAAACCAAGUUUAUUUUGCUUUUUUAGCUUCCGAGAUCAGACGGGAUCGGGCGCGUUCAGGGUGGUAUGUCCUUAGACUUAUUUUGCUUUUUUAAAGUAGUGUUCUUAAAGCACUACAGCUUGGUAAACAAUGUAAAUUAGUAUAAGUCAUCUCAAAAGCCAGAGUUCUGUUUUGUUUUUUUUAAUGAGUUGUUAAAAAGAUGCAGACUAGUCUAACAGGAUAAAUAUUUUUAACCAUUUCACUUUGAGUUAAUGAAGACUCACAAAUGAGCAACACUCCUCAUUGAGGAAAACAAAAAGCUGUUGUCGACAAGCGACAGCACACACACACAAAAACAAAAAGAACUGUGUAAAAAUAACUGUGUUCCCAUAUUUUUUGAAGUUGCUUUACAAUGGGAUGAUAUGCACAUGAUCUUGCUGCAAACUUGCCAUACAGACUUGUAAUACAUGUAGUCUAGACAGACGAUUCAGUCCAAGAGGUGCUAACUUCAGACAAUGCAGCACUAUAAUCCUUUUAACAACGCAAUUUGUUUUACUCAUUACCUUUUCUUCUAGACUGAAAAACAGGCUAAAAGAAAAUGCUCCCUAAUUAAAAUUGGUAUUGUUUACAAGACCUAAGCCAGUCUUAUCUCCCAG
rnacentral:lncRNA from 1 species